rnacentral:rRNA from 1 species
AGCGAACGCUGGCGGCAGGCCUAACACAUGCAAGUCGAACGAACCCUUCGGGGUUAGUGGCGGACGGGUGAGUAACACGUGGGAACGUGCCUUUAGGUUCGGAAUAACUCAGGGAAACUCGUGCUAAUACCGAAUGUGCCCUUCGGGGGAAAGAUUUAUCGCCUUUAGAGCGGCCCGCGUCUGAUUAGCUAGUUGGUGAGGUAAAGGCUCACCAAGGCGACGAUCAGUAGCUGGUCUGAGAGGAUGAUCAGCCACAUUGGGACUGAGACACGGCCCAAACUCCUACGGGAGGCAGCAGUGGGGAAUCUUGCGCAAUGGGCGAAAGCCUGACGCAGCCAUGCCGCGUGAAUGAUGAAGGUCUUAGGAUUGUAAAAUUCUUUCACCGGGGACGAUAAUGACGGUACCCGGAGAAGAAGCCCCGGCUAACUUCGUGCCAGCCGCCGCGGUAAAAC